rnacentral:rRNA from 1 species
GAUGAACGCUGGCGGCGUGCCUAAUACAUGCAAGUCGAGCGAACAGACGAGGAGCUUGCUCCUCUGACGUUAGCGGCGGACGGGUGAGUAACACGUGGAUAACCUACCUAUAAGACUGGGAUAACUUCGGGAAACCGGAGCUAAUACCGGAUAAUAUAUUGAACCGCAUGGUUCAAUAGUGAAAGACGGUUUUGCUGUCACUUAUAGAUGGAUCCGCGCCGCAUUAGCUAGUUGGUAAGGUAACGGCUUACCAAGGCAACGAUGCGUAGCCGACCUGAGAGGAUGAUCGGCCACACUGGAACUGAGACACGGUCCAGACUCCUACAGGAGGCAGCAGUAGGGAAUCUUGCGCAAUGGGCGAAAGCCUGACGGAGCAACGCCGCGUGAGUGAUGAAGGUCUUCGGAUCGUAAAACUCUGUUAUUAGGGAAGAACAAAUGUGUAAGUAACUAUGCACGUCUUGACGGUACCUAAUCAGAAAGCCACGGCUAACUACGUG